UAAACUGAUUUGUGUGUGUAGAGAGUUUGUACAUGUGUAUGGCUGAUGUACGAGCACACGCACGUGAGGGUCAGAGAUUGAUGUCAGGCAUCUUUUUGGAUCUCUAUCCAUGUUAGCUUUUGAGACAAGGCUUCUUAUUAAACCUGACACUCUUCAAUUCAGCUAGAAUGGCUGGCCGUCGAGAGACCAGGGGAUCCUCCUGCCUCUGCCUCCCCAGUGCCAGGAUUGAAUCCAAGGCCUUGUCCUUGUUAGGAAACUCUCUCUCUCUCUCUCUUUCUCUCUCUCUCUCUCUCUCUCUCUCUCUCUCUCACACACACACACACACACACACACACACUCACAGAGACACAUUUGUUUUAUCUGUAUCGACCUGCCAAGCAAACCUCCAGGGCCUGAGGGUAUUAGUGGGGACAGGCAUACCAGGAGACAUGUGUACAAAACCCAGGGCCCCCGGGCUGCAGUGGUGUCCUGGUGCUAUUUGCAGGAGUUCAUGCAGCACCCUCAGACCUACCUACUGCCCACACUGGUUCACCUCACUGAUUCUUCAGAACGCUUUUAGCCUUGACCAAUCAAACCCCCUGUCCUGUCUACUCUUCCUGGGACGGCAGCACUUCAGACUUAUCAUAUGGCCAACCAUUUGUCCCCAACGUGAAGAGCUAAGGAGCCUCUACUGCCUAGGCUGGAUGGAUGGAUGUCCUACUAAUCUGGAACUAUCUGAACUUCACCAGGUUCAGCAUGCAGUGAGGCCCCAUGUGUGUCCCUGUGCUUGUGACUGCUUGCCCUAAUGACAGGGCUGUGCCCCCCUGAGGGGUGGAAGCAGCAAGCCUACCACCCACCAGAAGAGAAAAGUUAU